rnacentral:lncRNA from 1 species
CGGCAGCGCGGAAGGCCAGCCUGCAGAGAGGCUGGGCCCAGCGCCCUGACUGACCCAGCCCCGCCACGUCCAAGGUUCCCGCCCUCUGGAGGAAGCCGCGCAAUCACUCCGGGGGCGGGGAGAGACAGACAACUGAGAGGAAGGAGGUACCACGGGCACUCUCUCGCGAGAGGGCCGCAGAGCCGCCUUUGACGGGGGCGUGUACCUGGAGAGCAACGGAGCCUAUGAGGUUGGUCCUAUUUUUACUCUCACUUAUCCCUACUUACCAGAUGAGGAUCCUGAGGCUCAGAAAAACUCUUGACAAAAUUCUCAGGGAAAACUCUUCAGCUCUGGAUGUCUCCCUUUUUGUGGAUCAAACACAAAGGGCAUCAUUCUAAAAUAUAUACAGAACCAUAAAAGCCCCAAAUAGCCAAAGCAACCCUGAGCAAAAAGAACAAGGCUGGAAGCAUCACACUACCAGACUUCAAAAUUUACUACAAAGCUCUAAUACCUAAAAUAACAUGGUACUGGCAUUAAAAAAAAAAAAAAAAUAGGCACAUAGACCACCAAUGAAACAGUAUAGAGAAUCUAGAUAUACCAACUCAUCUUUAACAAAGGUGCCAAGAACAUACAAUGAGGAAACGAUGGUCUUUUCAAUAAAUGGUGUGGGGGAAAGCUAGAUAACUAUAUGCAGAAGAAUGAAACAAGAUUCCUCUCUCUCGCUAUACACAAAAAUCAAAUCAAAAUGGAUUAAAGGCUUAAAUCUAAGACCUGAAACUACAAAACUAGAAGAACACACUGGAGAAGUGCUCCAGGACCUUGGUCUGGGAAAAGAUUUUUUUGUUUAAGACCUCAAAAGCACAGACAACAAAGCAAAAACAGACAAAUGAGAUUACAUUAAGCUAAAAAGUUUCUGCACAGCAAAGGAAACACUCAACAGAGUGGGGGAGACAACCCACAGAAUGAGAGAAAACAUUUUCAAACUAUCCAUCCGACAAGGGAUUAAUGACCAGAAUAAAGAGACCAAACAAUUUAAGCCAAAAACAAAACAAACAAACACACAAAAAAAACAAAAGCCAAAUAAUCUAAAAAGUGGGCAGGUUGGGUGGGGUGGCUCAAGCCUAUAAUCCCAGCACUUUGGGAGGCCAAGGCAGGCAGGUCAAGAGAUCGAGACCAUCCUGGCCAACAUGGUGAAACCCCAUCUCUACUGAAAAUACAAAAAAAAUUAGCCGGGUGUGGUGGCAUGUGCCUGUAGUCCCAGCUACUUGGGAAGCUGAGGCAGUGAGAAUCGCUUGAACCUGGGAGGCAGAGGUUGCAGUGAACCAAGAUCACACAACUGCACUCCAGCCUGAUGACAGAGCGAGACUCCAUCUUGAAAAAAAAAAAAAAAAAAGUGGGCAAAAGAUCCAAACAGACAUUUCUCAAAGGAAGACAUAAAAAUGGCCAACAGGUAUAUGAAAAAAUGCUCAACAUUACUAAUCAUUAGAGAAAUGCAAAUUAAAACAACAUGUUAUUUCACCCCAGUUAAAAUGGCUUGUAUUAAGAAAACAGAUAAUAACAGAUGCUAGUGAGGAUGUGGAGAAAAGAGAACCCUCAUACACUGUUGGUAGAAAUGUAAACUAGUACAACCACUAUGAAGAACAGUAUGGAAGUUCUUCAAAAAACUAAAAAUAGAAUUACCAUAUGAUCCAGCAAUUCCACUACUGAAUAUGUAUCCAAAAGAAAGGAAAUCCGUAUAUCAAAAAGAUAUCUGCACUCCCAUGUUUAUUGCAGCAUUGUUCACAAUAGCCAAGAUAUGGAAUUAACCUAAGUGCCCAUCAAUGGGUGAAUGGAUAAAGUGUGGUAUGUAUGCACAAUGAAAUAUUAAUCAGCCAUAAAAAAUAAUGAAACCCUCUCAUUUGCAGCAACAUGGAUGAUACUGGCGACCACUAUGUUAAAUAAGCCAAGUACAUAAAGACAAAUAUUGCAUGUUGUCAGUCAUACAUGGGAGCUAAAAAUGUGGAUUUCAUGAUGACACAGAGUACAUUGGUGGUUACCAGAAGCCAGAAAGGAGGGGAUGGAGUAGGGGAUGAAGGGGGAAAAAGGAUAUAAGUGUACUUAUUACCACUGAACUGUACACUUAAAAUGGUAAAGAUGGUAUGUUAUGUAUUACCUCAGUUUACAAAAGAAAAAACAAAUGGCAUCAACGUUAAUAAGUGUAAAAGUUGUACUAGGGAUAAAUCCGCCAUUUAAAAGGGAAAUUAGAAAUCUGAAAUAAUGAGUGCAGUUAGACUCUGAAACCCUUGAAGUCCCCAAAAGUCUCAUUCAGAACUGGUCCCAAAAUGAAUACGUACUUUUGUAUCAUUGUCUAAUUAAAGCUGCUUUUUUCAAGUAUUAGUUUGCUUCAAAAUUAAUCUUUUUAUUUGUACUAUUAUUAUGAGUGUUAUUUCCUAUUCUUCAGGUAUAUUUUUUGGAGAACAGUGUUAGUGAAAAGAGCUUGACUGUUAGACAGUCUUGAGUUAAAAUUCACGUUAGCUGUGACGAAGAAACUAUUACAUUAAAUUUUAAUUACUUAAUUUUAUUAUCUACAAUUAAGGAUAAUAAUAUCACCAAAGGUUGUGGAGAGGAUUUAAUGGGAUGACACAUAAAACUAGGACAUAGAGGCAUCUAGCAAAUACACACUUCCUUCCCUUCUCCCUUGUUAUAUACUUAUCCACACGGGCUAGGAUUUCUUUGAAGGAACCAUUUCUAUCUUAGCCAGUGUUCUAUCUGAGGUAUUUGAUGCUCUCUGCUUUUUUCUUUCACACCCCACUUUCAGUCUCUCAGUAUGUACUGUGAGCUCUGCUUUCAGACUAGAUUCGUAACUCAGUGAUUUCCUACUCCUCCACAACCACCACCCUGGUCCAGGCCAUCAUCAUUUUUCAUCUGGACUACUGUAGUCACUUCCUAACUGGACUCCCAACUUCCACUCUUGCUGCUUGCCAUUUAUUGUUCACAUAGCAGCCAAAGUUAUUCUUUCAUAAAUUAGAUCAUGUCACUUCUCUGCUCAAAACCUUCCAAGAGCUCUCCACCACUUUUAGACUAAAUAUCUGAAGUCCUUACCAAAUCCUACUAGAUCUAUGUGAUUUGACCCCAGCCUAUCAUUCGGACUUCAGACCUCUCUCCUGCUACCUUACUGUGCUCCAGCAGCACUGGCCUCCUUGCUGUUCUUUUUUUUUUUUUUUUUUUUUUUUGAGAUGGAGUUUUGCUCUUGUUGCCCAGGCUGGGGUGCAAUGCUGUGAUCUUGGCUCACUACAACUUCCGCCUUCCAGGUUCAAGCAAUUCUCCUGCCUCAGCCACCCAAGUAACUGGGAUUACAGGCGCCUGCCACCACACUCAGCCAAUUUUUUGUAUUUUUAGCAGAGAUGAGGUUUCACCAUGUUGGCCAGGCUGGUCUCGAACUCCUGACCUCAGGUGAUCCUCCUGCCUUGGCCUCCCAAAGUGUUGGGAUUACAGGCAUGAGCCACCGCUCCCAGCCCUCCUUCCUGUUCUUUGAUGGUGCCAAGCAUACUCCUGCCUUGGGGCCUUUACAUCUGCUGUUCCCUCUGCCUGGAAUGCUCUUUCUAGAUUUUUAAUGCCUUACUUUCUCAUUUUCUAACUCAGAGAGGCUGAACCUAGGUACCUCAUUUUAAACAGAUACCCCUGCAAGGGUUUCUUCCUCUCCUUAUGCUUAUUUUCCUCAUAGCACUUACCCCACAUUGAUAUUGAGAUUUUUUUUCUUUCUUUUCUUUCUUUUUCUCUUUCUUUCUUUUUCUUUCUCUUUCCUUCCUUCCUUCCUUUCAUUCUUUUCUUUUUCCUUCCUUCCUUCCAUUCUUUUCUCUCUCCUUCCUUCCUUCUCCCUUCCCUCCCCUCCCCUCCCCUCAUAUAGGGGUCUCACUAUGUUGCCCAGGCUCCUGGACUCAAGUGAUCUUCCCACCUUAGCCUCCCAAGUAGCUGGGAUUAUAGGCACACACCAGCACACCUGACUCUAUGUAGUCCCACCUGAAAUGUAAGUUUCCCUCUGAAAUACAGGUUCAAUACUUUGUUUUGUUCACUUUGUAUCAUCAGCAUUUACAUCUGCCAGGCAUUCAAAAAUAUUCGUUGAAUAAGUAAGUGAGCAAACUUACCUGCUUCCACAGCCAUCCUUUCCCCUCUCCCUAGAGAUGUUUUUCUUCCUGUCUGAGAUUAUAAUGUCUCCCCUGUGUCCUGCCUCCUCAGCAUUCCUUAAUAUUGCCUAUCUUCCACAUUCAGUUCUCCCUGGCUACAUUUUUUGUUUUCUGGCAAGCAUACAUCUCUCCCAUCUUAAAUUAAAACAAAAAAAGAGAAAGAAAAUUCUCUCUGGGCAUCCCCUGUCAGCUGCCAGUCUCUGUCUCUCCUGCUCUUAACAAACUUUUGAAAUAUUUAUUUAUACUCUUUGCAUUGCCUCAAUUCUCUUUCAUUCAAGUUUCUCCAAACCCAUAGAAACUGUUCACUCCUGCUUUAAACUUUCUUUCCUGAGCUCUUCCAAGAUAUUACUCUCUUAUUGUUUUUUUAAUCUUACUUCCCUGAUUGCUACUUUUCCUGUCCCUCCCUCAAAUUUUGUAUAUCACAGCGUUCUGAUACAAGUUCUUCAUGUUCUCCAGAUUCUUCCUUGGCAAUCUUACUACAUCCAUUGCUUUAGUUACCACCUAAACCUGGAAGCCCAGCUCAGAUUUCUCUGUACUAAGCUCAUGACUUAUUUGACCUAGUGUCUACUUGAUAUCCACCUUGAUUUCCACAAGCACCUCAAAAUAAAGAUGCCCUCUUCCAUCUCCAAACUUGAUUCUCCUCCAGUGUUACUUAUUUUAGUGAGUGGUAGCAUCAUCCAGUUGCUCAAGUAGAAAACAUGGAUAUUGUCCUUGAUUUAUCCUUCGCCUUCAGCCCCCUUCCCCCAUUUAGCCAACCAUUGGCUUCCAUUAAUUCUAUUACAGUGAGAGAAAUUGUAUCCCCCCAGAAAGAUAUGUGAAAGUCCCAGCCCCCACUGCUUAUGAAUGUGAUCUUACUUAGGGUCUUUGUAGAUGUAAUUCAGGAUCUUGAGAGGUGAUUAUCCCGGAUUAGGGAGGGCCCUAAAUCCAAUGACUGAUGUCCUUAAACAUGAAAGGAGAGGGAGAUGUGAGACAAAGACACAGGGGAGAAUGCCAUGUGAAGAUCCCUAUAAGGCUGGAGAGAGAGAUUGGAGUGAUGCUGCUACAGGCCAAAGAACACCAAGAAUUGCCAACCCCAUUGACAGCCUGAUUUCAGACUUCUGACCUCCAAAACUGUGGAUGGAAAGCCGAUUUCCAGUCUUUAUGAUAACGCCGAUGUUCCACUUGGGAAAGAUACUGUACAACAAUGAAAGUAGCCCUUUCUUUUGUCUUUCAAAGAAUGUAUUUUUAACAAACAGCCUCUGUGUGAUCCUUUUGACCACACAAUUUGUAGAGUUAACGCUGAAAUUUUCAUUAGCAACAAUGAAAGCACACACAGGCACAAUAUUAAUAUAGAUUAAUAUCAGCCUAUUUUGGUCAGAAAGGCUCAUUUAAAUGUUUAAGAGACAGAAGUCCCAAAUUGUAGUAAUUUCUUCCACUAGCAGGAGGAAGCUCAGAAUUAGUUUUUCUACAACACUAGAGGAAUACUACUCAAAAAUAAAAAGGAAUUAACCAUUGAUACAUGCAACAACACAGAUGAAUCUCAAAGUAAUUGUGCUGAAAGAAACCAGACCCAGAAAAAGAUAAAUUCUAUAUGAUCUCAUUUAUAUAAGACUCUAGGAAAUGCAAACUAAUCUACACAUACAGAAAACUGAGGGCAGGUACUGAGAAGGGUAGGAGGGGGGCGUUACAGAGAGGCAUGAGGAAACUUUUUGGGGUGAUAGAUAUGUUUACUACUUUGAUUGUAAGGAUGAGGUCGCAACUCUGUGCGUGUCAGUGGUAUAUUUUAAUAUGAACGGCUUAUUUUAUGUAAAUUCUACCCCUAUAAAGCUGUUUUUUUUAAAAAAAAAAACUUCUCUUUGAGAGACAUCACCUUUGUCUUUUAAACCAUCUAAUGUUGAAUCUAAAAGUUCAGUGUAAAGUUUAAUAAAAUCAGAGUGUGUAUGUGUCUUAAUUUCCAGGACAUAUAAUCAUAGUGAUUAAGCCAAAAGUGCUUAUAUGAUUACCUAUAAACUAUCAUAGUUAAAUGACUAAAUACCCUGCAUAAGGUAAAAUGAUUAUUUUAUUCCUAUAGAUUGAAAUUGCCCAACUUUUUAUUAGAGAAUAAUAGAUUAGAGGGCAUGUUGGCUCAUACCUGUAAGCCCAAUGCUUUGGGAGGCUGAAGCGGGAGGAUCCCUUGAGGCCAGGAGUUGAAGAUCAGCUUGGGCAACAUAGCAAGACCACAUCUCUACAAAAAAAUUUAAAAUAAAAUGUUUAUCCAAGCAUAGUGGCACUCACUCACCUGUAGUACUAGCUGCUGAGGAAGCUGAGGCCUGGAGUUCAAACUGCACAACGCUGCACUUCAACCUAUGUGACAAAGUGAGAUCCUAUCUCUAAAAUAAUUAAUUCAGUUUUUAUAAUUAGGGAACAUUUAAAUUCAGAUUAUAAGUAAAAAAUGGAAUAAACAGUCCUGUUACCUGAUAUGGUUUGGAUCUCCAUCCCUACCCAAAUCUUAUGUUGAAAUGUAAUCCCCAAUGCUGGAGGUGGGGCCUGGUGGGAGAUGAUUGGAUCAUGGUGGUGGUUUCUCAUGGUUUAACACCAUCGUCCCCUGGUGCUGUCGCCGUGAUGAUGAAUUCUCACGAGAUCUGGUUGGUUUAAAAGUGUGUGGCACCUCCCCCUUCUCUCUUGCUCCUGCUCCUACCAUGUGAGAUGCCUUGGUCCCCCUUUGCCUUCCGCCAUGAUUCAGAGUUCUCUGAGGCCUCCCCAGAAGCAGAUGCUGCCAUGCUUUCUGUACAGCCUGCAGAACCGUAAGCCAAUUAAACCUCUUUUCUUAUACAUUACCCAGUGUCAGAUAUUUCUUUAUAGCAGUGUGAGAAUGGAUUAAUACACUACGUCAUGCAAAAUGUAAAAACAGGCAACUCACUGAGAGUAAACCUAAUCAACUUGUUCAUUUAGAUAUAAACUGUAGAGACGACACUGCCAUCUAGUUGUUGAAUACUGAGUAUACUGUUGAAACAUUCUUGACAAUGUUCUAUUUCUCUUUUGUAGACUUACAAGGAACACACAGAAGCCCCUAACCAAUUACAUCUCCUUCCUAGGAGUGUGAAUGUGACUGCCAUAGUGCAGCCCAUGCUGCCCCUGGUAAUUAUAUGCCUCAACCCAAGCAGGAGCUUGUGAAAAAUGUGAGAGAAAGGACAAUGUCAUGUACCCCCAGUGUGAAGUAUAGCACCUGGAGAUAGCAGGCAUUCAAUAACUACUGGAUGGAUGGAGGCAUUAUGAAGUUUGCCAAGUUUGUUAACACUACUAAAGGUUUCAAUGAAUGUAAAAACAGUGGCAGAUGGGUGGUUUUCUUGACUGUGGGAAAGGUAAAAUAGUAUAAAGUACUAGCAAGUAUAAACACAGGCAUACCUCAUUUUAUUGCAUUUUGCUUUACUGUACUUUGCAGAUACUGCAUUUUUUACAAAUUAAAGGUUUAUGGCAACCCUCCAACAAACAAGUCUGUUAAUGCCACCCCAAAGUCAUGUGCUCAUUUUGUGUCUCUGUGUCACAUUUUGGUAAUUCCUGCAAUAUUUCAAACUUUGUAUUAUUAUUAUUUCUGUUACAGUGAUCUGUGGUCAGUGAUCUUUGAUGUUACUAUUUUGACCGUUUGUGGGCACCACAAACUGUGCCCAUAUAACAUCAGCGAACUUAAUAAAUGGUGUGUGUGUUCGGACUGCUCUACCAACCGGCCAUCCCCCUAUCUUUCUCCCUCUCCUCAAACCUCCUUAUUCCCUGAGACACAAUACUGAAAUCAGGCCAAUUAAUCACCCUGCAAUGGCCUCCCAGUGUUCAAGUUAAAAGAAGACUUGUACAUCUCUCAUUGUAAAUCAAAAGCUAGAAAUGGUUAAGCUUAAUGAAGAGGCAUGUCAAAAGCCAAGACAGGCUAAAAAAGCUAGGGUCUUGUGCCAAACCAUUAAUUCUUGAAGGAAAUUAGAAGUGUUACUCCAGUAAACACCUAAGAAAACCUUAUUGCUGAUACGGAGAAAAAGUUUUAGUGGUCUGGAUAGAAAAUCAAACCAGCCACAACAUUCCCUUAGGCCAAAGCCUAAUCCAGAGCAAGGUUCUAAAUUCAAUUCUAUGAAGACUGAGAGGUAAGGAAGCUACAGAAGUUUGAAGCUAGUAGAGGUUGGUUUAUGAGGUUUAAAGAAAGAAGUCAUCUCCAUAAAUAAAAGUGCAAGGUGAAGCAGAAAGUGCUGAUGUAGAAGCUGCAGGAGUUUAUCCAGAUCCAGCUAAGACCAUUGUUAAAGGUGGCUAUACUCAGUAACAGAUUUUCAAUGUAGAUGUAACAAGCCUUUUAUUGGAAGAAGCCACCUUAGACUUUCACCGCUACAGAGAAGUCAGUGCCUGGCUUCAAAUCUUCCAAGAACCGGCUGACUUGUUAAAAGCUAAUGCUGCUGGUGACUUUAUAUUGAAGCCAAUGCUCAUUUGCCAUUCUGAAAAUCCUAGGGCCCUUAACAAUUAUGCUAAAUCUACUCUGCCUGUACUCUAUAAAUGGGACAAAGCCUGGAAGACAGCACAUCUGUUUACAGCAUGAUUUACUGAAUAUUUUAAGCCCACCAUUGAGAUCUACUGCACAAAAAGAUUCCUUUCAAAAUAUUGCUGCUCAUUAACAAUCAUCUCGUAUCCCAAGAGCUCAGACGGAGAUGGACAACGAGAUUCAUGCUGUUUUCAAGCCUGCUAACACAAUGUCCACUCUAUAGCCCAUAGACCAUGGAGCAAUUUCAACUUUCAAGUCUUAUGAUUUAAGAAAUACAUGUUGUAAGGCUAUUGCUGCCAUAAAUAGUGAUUUCUCUGAUGGAUCUGUGCAAAGUAAAUUGAAAACUUUCUGGAAAGGAUUCACUAUUCUAGAUAUCAAUAAGAACAUUCAUGAUUCAUGGGAUGAGGGCAAAAUAUCAUUUACUGGAGUUUAGAAGUUGUUUCCUGUCCUCAGAGAUGACUUUUAAGGGUUCAAGACUUCAAUGGAGGAAGUAACUGCAGAUGUGGUAGAAAUUGCAAGAUAACUAGAAUUAGGCCAGGUGUGGUGGCUCAAGCCUAUAAUCCCAGCACUUUGGGAGGCUAAAGUGGGCAGAUCGCUUGAGGCCAGGAGUUUGAGACCAGCCUGGAGUGAAACCCUGUCUCUACAAAAAAUGCAAAAAAUUAGCCAGGCAUGGUGGCGUGUACCUGUAGUCCCAGCUACUCUAGAGGCUAAAGUGGGAGGAUCACUUGGGCCCAAGAGGUAGAGGCUGCAGUGAGCUGUGAUGGUGCCACUGCACUCCAGCCCGGGGGCAGAGCAAGACCCUAUCUCAAAAAGAAAAAAGGCCAGACGUGGUGGCUCAUGCCUGUAACUCCAGCACUUUGGGAGGCCAAGGCGGGAAGAUCAUUUGAGCUCAGAAGUUCAAGACCAACCUGGGCAACAUGGCAAAAUCCUGUCUCUACUAAAAAUACAAAAAUUAGCCAGGUGUAGUGGCACGCACCUGCAGUCUUAGUUCUUGGGAGGG